AUGCCUUUAGCGAUUUAAAUCGACCGUCAAAACACCGACCACGGCUUCAGAGAAACAAUUUCGUUAUUAAAUUGUACACGUAUGUAGAGCAGAUAGUAGGUGCCUUUAGCGAUUUUAAUAGAUUAUGAAAACUGCGAAACUCUUAAUAUUUCAUGGAAAAAAUAAAUUUUGUUAAGAAAGGCAUUUUGUAGUUUUAUGGGCUUUUAGUCGUUACUGGCAAAGGGUAAGAACUCCGCCACGUGCAGUUACAAAAGGCGCAGGUAUUAAGGAAAAAAUAUGUCCAUAUUUUUUGCAUUAUAAGUGCAUUCCGGGAAAAUAGUUGCCGACUUAUUCGGUGUUGUUUUAGAGCGUCAUACACAUUUUUUAGAUUUUGCCCGAAAGGUGAGGAGUAAACUUAUAAUAUAUAAAGAUUCCUCAGCUAUUGCAGAGAUCAGCUGUUCUAGUUAUCUCUUGUUAAAACCAGUGACCAGUGAAGAUGUCGACGAAAUUACUGUUUUUGGGCGAUAGUAAUUUUUGCCGAAUGCUACGUACUAGAACUAACUACAAAGACGACAACCAAAACAGUCAAGCAACGGAAAAUAUUUCCUCGACUUAGCAGUAGGCGGUCAAACAAUACUAAAACUUUUGCGGCGCGCAAAGUGUAUUCCAAAAACAUGUUACCCUUGGUUUUGUGGAGAUAUUGUUGAACGUCAUAUCGUUAUAAUGAUAAGAACUAAAGAUAUACUCCAUAAAACAUCACCAUCCCAACUGAAGUCCCAAUAUUCUCACCUCUUCCGCUUCCUUCUUUCCUUAAAUCCUAAAGGAAUACAAAUUUGCACAAUUCCUCCCUGCAAAAACUUCGAGUCUGUGAACGAAAUCAAUCAUUACAUUCGACGGUUUUGUGCUGAAAAGCAAAUCAAUUGUACCGACAUUGAAGCAAUUGUUAACAGAACCAUGAUGGAAGGGUAACAAAACGUAAAAAUGUUUCUUUUCUUAUGUAUUUAAUACAAAUUUCUACACAGGGAUGGCAUUUACUUAAAUGAACAAGGGUUGGAAACGGUCUGGAACGCGGUAGCAAGUAAUUAUAAUCAUAUUCUCAAUCCAUUACACAAUUUAAUUAUAAGUAAAACAGACCAUUAAUAUAAUAAAUUUCUUUCUCUAUCAAAAGUUUUUUUUCUAUCAAAAGUCCGCCCUCCAAAUCAUCCUAAAAUUUCAUCAAUUUUGGAGGUGCCCAACGGGGUCAAAUUCACCCCCAAAGUCCGCGCCGCGAUCUGUACCUAUAGUGUCUAAUAACAAAUUUUUUUUUUCGGAAACCGUUAUACCUUACGGUGUUUGGAUGGUUGAUUUCAAUUGCUAAAGGCAUCCUCUAAAUCAUCCAAAAAUUUCAUCAAUUUUGGAGGUGCCCA